rnacentral:rRNA from 1 species
AAUGGGCGAAAGCCUGACGGAGCAAUACCGCGUGAGGGACGAAGGUCUGUGGAUUGUAAACCUCUUUUGUUGGGGAAGAUAAUGACGGUACCCAACGAAUAAGCAUCGGCUAACUCCGUGCCAGCAGCCGCGGUAAGACGGAGGAUGCAAGCGUUAUCCGGAAUUAUUGGGCGUAAAGCGUACGUAGGCUGUUUCAUAAGUCUGUUGUCAAAGCCCGAGGCUCAACCUUGGAUCGGCAAUGGAAACUGUGAGACUAGAGAGAGAUAGGGGCAGGAGGAAUUCCAGGUGUAGCGGUGAAAUGCGUAGAUAUCUGGAAGAACACCAGUGGCGAAAGCGUCCUGCUGGAUCUCAACUGACGCUGAAGUACGAAAGCUAGGGGAGCGAAUGGGAUUAGAUACCCC